GAGAGAGAGAGAGAGAGAGAAAAGCCAUGUGUGUCUAAGCUGCAAGGCCUCCCAAAUCACUGAAUCCCACUAACCAUCUCCCAAGUGAGCAGAGGGAGGCCAAGAGAGGGCAAGCAGGGCACCAGGCCAGAAGCCAAGCCAGGGACCAGGACCCUUCCUGCUGCAUCAGCUGUCUCAUGUCUUCCCUGGAGGAGCCCUCUCACAGGACAGCUGGACGCAGCCAGGCUGGAAGGACUCUUCACCAGCCCCGUCUCCAUCGCCCGGCUGUCAUCACUGCCGGCAUCAACACUGACCCUCCGGCUCCAGCACCAGGUCACCACCCUGCCCCUCAUCCAUCCUCUUCCUCCACGCGUGAUGAAUGAGCGUUUCUCAUUCAAUCAUUCUCAGAGGCAGCACAGCAUGGCCAGUAGGAAAGAGGAUGCGGGAGCCAGACUGCCCGGCUCCACCACCCACCGGCUGCUUUUAUUCCCUGCCUGCUGUAGUUCCCCGGGUCGUAACAUGGGGAUACAAAUAAUAUUUUCCUCAUCAGGUCACCGGGAGGCUUAAAUAAGCCCAUACUGUAAAGUGCUUACAGGGCCUGCCACAUAGUAAGUACCCCAUGAUUACUGUCAUUCAUUCAUUCGUUCAUUCACGCAUUCUAUCCUGCCUAUUUCUGAAAGAGUUGAGAUGACUCACAAUGGAAACGCAAUGAUAAUAGGACUUUAAAGUCAGGUUAAAAGAACACAAGCCUAGGCUGCAGAGGAGAGGGUGCCCCAGAACCUGGGCCAAGCGAGCCUCACCUGAACACAACCUCCCGGCGUCUCGUCCAAAACAUAAAGGCUGCUGGUAUCAAUUCUCCUUUUCUGAUAAAAGGAAGCACAACAGCUUUCCAGCAGAAUACAAGAUGUUUUUCUGGUUCAAACUUUAUGAAUGACAUUAAACAAUGCAAUGGGUAGCCUCCCCCUCACCUCACCCUGUCCACCUUUUUAAUCAACUCCUGAGAAAUGGGAUCUGCUCUUCAUCCCAUCCCACUCCCCAUUUCCAGACCCUGGGGAAACCUGCGGUCCCGGAGAGCCUGACAGCCCCCAGAGCAAAACCUUCAGCUGUCCCAGGAGAAGGACACUCAGGGAGCCAGCCGGAGCUGGCUGCUUUCAGCACCGGGGACAACUCUAGGAAAAAGCCAAGCCACUGAGUCAAUGAGGGCCUUCCCUCCGCUGCAGACAGCAAGCCCCUUCCAGGCGCUUCCCCGCAGCUACAGCAGCAAGCGCCCCUGUGGCAGGCCGGGAAUGCUCACGGAGAAAACCCAGAGCUGUCUACACUUCCCCUCACCGGCUUCCCCUUCUCUCAGCAGCGGCAGGCACAGGAAAGCUCCUGAUUCCCGGAGGACCCCUUACACCAGCACCAUGAGCCGAUCGACGGCAGAGUCUCUCCAGCUCCUAAGUCUUCAGUGACUCCCCACUGCCCAAGGAAAACAGAAGACACCUGAGGCCUUACACAGUGGACCUCACUCUCAUCCCUCCCCCAAGAGAAUCCUCUGCCUCGAGCCGAAGGCCAUGGGCUCUGCAGACUCCAGGCCUCUUCUUCCCAGGGCGGUCUUCCCUUUCCCUCCACUCAAGACACAGCCCAAGUCCCACCUCCUCCAUUGCAAGGGACACCACCGUCUGAAGUCCUGUUGGGGAAAGAGCCUAGUUUUUCAGCUAGGGUCUUUGCAGAUGUCGGCAAGUGAAGAUGAAGCCAUCUUGGAUUAGGGUGGCUUGUGGCUUCUGUCCAACGCCUUGUGUCCUUCUAAGAAGACAGAAAUCGAGACACAGACACACACAGGGAAAAGGCCGAGUGAUGACAGCAGCAGAGACGGGAGCGCGGCAGCUACAAGCCGAGGGAUGCCAAGCAUGGCUGGCACCGCCCAGGAGCCUGGAGAGAGGCAGGGUACAGCCUCCUCUUUAGAGCCUCAAAACACCCUACCCACACCCUGACUUCAGACUUCCAGCCUCCACAACUGGGAGAGAAUCACUUUCUGUUGUGUUAGGCUACACGAGUUCGGGGUGAUUUGUUACAGCAGCUGCAGGAAAUGAACACAGACACCAAAUGAAGAGACUGUGUCUGAGACUAAGGCCGGCACCAUGGAAUCAGAGCCACCAGGAGGGACACAUGGACUCUCAGCCCUGUGGCCACACUUGGCUCCCCCAGCGGCUAAAGCACGAAGUCUACCGGACUUACUAGACUUUCCCAUUACCUGGACCAAUAUAUGCUCUGUUUUACUUAAGCUGUUUCGAUUGGGUUUCUGGCUAUUUCAACUGAGAGAGGCCUGACUCUCAGUCAUACAGAGACAACGGAUGUAAAAUGCAUUGAAGGCCAGGCACAGUGGCUUGCACCUGUAAUCCCAACACUUUGGAAAGCCAAGGCAGGAGGAUGGCUUGAGCCCAGGAA